AAGAACCAACAGGGAUUGCCCCAGUAACGGCGAGUGAAGCGGCAACAGCUCAAAUUUGAAAUCUGGCUCUCAGGGCCCGAGUUGUAAUUUGUAGAGGAUGCUUUUGGCGAGGUGCCUUCCGAGUUCCCUGGAACGGGACGCCACAGAGGGUGAGAGCCCCGUAUGGUCGGACACCGAGCCUCUGUAAAGCUCCUUCGACGAGUCGAGUAGUUUGGGAAUGCUGCUCAAAAUGGGAGGUAUAUGUCUUCUAAAGCUAAAUAUUGGCCAGAGACCGAUAGCGCACAAGUAGAGUGAUCGAAAGAUGAAAAGCACUUUGAAAAGAGGGUUAAAAAGUACGUGAAAUUGUUGAAAGGGAAGCGCCUAUGACCAGACUUGCGCCCGGUGAAUCACCCAGCGUUCUCGCUGGUGCACUUUGCCGGGCACAGGCCAGCAUCAGUUCAGCGCGGGGGAGAAAGGCUUCGGGAAUGUGGCUCCCUCGGGAGUGUUAUAGCCCGCUGCGUAAUGCCCUGCGCCGGACUGAGGUACGCGCAUUGCAAGGAUGCUGGCGUAAUGGUCAUCAGCGACCCGUCUUGAAACACGGACCAAGGAGUCGUCUUCGUAUGCGAGUGUUCGGGUGUCAAACCCCUACGCGUAAUGAAAGUGAACGCAGGUGAGAGCUUCGGCGCAUCACCGACCGAUCCUGAUGUUCUCGGAUGGAUUUGAGUAAGAGCAUACGGGGCCGGACCCGAAAGAAGGUGAACUAUGCCUGUAUAGGGUGAAGCCAGAGGAAACUCUGGUGGAGGCUCGCAGCGGUUCUGACGUGCGAAUCGAUCGUCAAAUAUGGGCAUGGGGGCGAAAG
rnacentral:rRNA from 1 species